rnacentral:rRNA from 1 species
AGCGAACGCUGGCGGCAGGCCUAACACAUGCAAGUCGAACGGACCCUUCGGGGUUAGUGGCGGACGGGUGAGUAACACGUGGGAACGUGCCUUUAGGUUCGGAAUAGCUCCUGGAAACGGGUGGUAAUGCCGAAUGUGCCCUUCGGGGGAAAGAUUUAUCGCCUUUAGAGCGGCCCGCGUCUGAUUAGCUAGUUGGUGAGGUAAUGGCUCACCAAGGCGACGAUCAGUAGCUGGUCUGAGAGGAUGACCAGCCACACUGGGACUAAGACACGGCCCAGACUCCUACGGGAGGCAGCAGUGGGGAAGCUUGCGCAAUGGGCGAAAGCCUGACGCAGCCAUGCCGCGUGAAUGAUGAAGGUCUUAGGAUUGUAAAAUUCUUUCACCGGGGACGAUAAUGACGGUACCCGGAGAAGAAGCCCCGGCUAACUUCGUGCCAGCAGCCGCCGUAA